rnacentral:rRNA from 1 species
AUUGAACGCUGGCGGCAGGCCUAACACAUGCAAGUCGAGCGAGCGGCGGACGGGUGAGUAAUGUAUGGGGACUGCCCGAUAGAGGGGGAUAACUACUGGACACGGUAGCUAAUACCGCAUACUAUCGGAUAACCCAUAUGGGAUUAGCUAGUAGGUGAGGUAAUGGCUCACCUAGGCGACGCUCCCUAGCUGGUCUGAGAGGAUGAUCAGCCACACUGGGACUGAGACACGGCCCAGAUGCCUACGGAGGCAGCAGUGGGGAAUAUUGCACAAUGGGCGCAAGCCUGAUGCAGCCAUGCCGCGUGUAUGAAGAAGGCCCUAGGGUUGUAAAGUACUUUUGGAAGGGAAGCGGUACCGGCAGAAGAAGCACCGGCUAACUACGUGCCAGCAGCCGCGGUAAUUC